AUUUACAGGAAGUAUUAGAAUGAUAAAAUUGAAUACACAUGCCACAAAAGAUGAAAAUAAUUUCAAAACAGAUGUAAAGGAACUACUGAAAGGUAAUCUAGUUUAAAUGAAGCGUGGUUGAUUUUUUUUCUUUUUAAAACAGCUAAAAGUGAUCCUGUGAACUUACAUAAAACAAAUAGUGUCAAAACAAAUAUCAACCAGAAUUUGUCUAUCCUACCCCAGUAAGAGAACCUGUUGGCUUUAGUUUUGUGCAGCAGUCAUAGAUUGGUAUAUCACCCAUCUUAGGUUCCCCUAUCCCUUGUUAUUUAAAGAAGCUGUUUUGCAAGUUCAUUUGGCUAUUAAUAUCAACAAAAAUCAGAGGAGGAAAGUCAUGUAGAUCAUAUCAUGUCACUUAAAAACUAUCUUCUCAACAAGUUGAGUGAACCAACUGAAAUGGGCAGCUUGGUGACUGGCCCCUAAUUUCUUCAGUUUAUCAGAUGAAUUGAAGAGCUUAGUGAGGAGGCAGUGGCCAAGAUGAGAACAUAGGUGGAUAUUCCCCUGUACUCACGAUUAGGGGACAAAGUCAACAGAACAGAGGUGUGCCAAAGGACUAGCCCAGAAUCAGCAGCAGAGGAGGACGAUGAGUAAAAUCACCAGAUGGUGUCCAUCUGAUUUUAGAUUUUGCUUCUGAAGACUUUUAAUUUAGUAGUCAGUCUCCUCUUGAUUUCUUCUCUCUUCUUCCCAUGACUUUUGAAGGUGGAUAUGCUGGGUGGCAAGGAGAGCAUUUACAGGGUUUCUAGUUUUAGUGUCUUCAUUCUUCCCACCUUGGCAAUUGAAUUUUCUUUUCAACCCUGAUCUGUGUGACCCCUUUAGUUGCUCUGAAGGAGGAAGUAGGCAUUUAUCCACUUGAUGGGAAGGUAUUCUCUCUAGGGGAUGAGGGCAAGAUGCGCAGCUUGUCCAAUCCCAUUGAUGCCUUUUUUCCAGUUUGUCUAAGAGAUCCAAAAAUCUCAUAGUUGAUGACAGACAUUUGGUAACAAGUCUUUGAGCCUACUGGCAUCUAGGUGUAGAUGUUAAGAUGCUGGCUUGCUAGUUUUCUUGGUGGUGGGGGUUCUUAGCAGAGAGUCUGUGAACUUGCCCAAAGAAGUAGACAAGCUUCACCACUGUGGCUGUAAUACAGUCUGGUGAAGUUCAGGCCCACAAAACCCUGAAGGGAGGGUGGAUGGUGCUUGCAGCUGCAUGGGGUCAGUCAGAGAACAUUCAGUUCUUUUAAAAGUAGAGGCAAAAAGGGAUCAAAUCUUCAGUGCCCUAAGCAGGAGAACAGUCAAGCCACCACUUCCUUUUCCUUUGCCUCCAG
rnacentral:lncRNA from 1 species